UUAGGUAGGGCUCAAGAUGGGUGGGCAGCGGAAACCAGGUGAACUUUAAUCCCUUCCAUUCCUGAAAUGUGUUAGUUUUAUGAAAUAUCUCUCUCUGCAAAAUGUCUCCACCACUUGACUUUGGAUUUCUAAGAAAUGUUUCUCUGAAUAGAUGUAGAGUAGCAUUUCCCAGAUUGCGUUCUGAAGCACGCUACUGCCAGGCACUCAUGGAUUUUGGAGGAGAAAAAAAAAUCCAUGGUCCGGGUUUGUUCCAUGGCUAUCCCAUGAGUCAUUAUAAAUAGAAUGAAUUAUCAAGGAAGCUUCUGGAAUCUUUUUAUCUUAAGGGGCCUUUGAAAGUUGCAUAUAAUUGUGGGAUAAGAAGAACAUGCAUUUGAAGGGAAUACCUUUCUAACUUAGGUUUCCAAGACAAGUGGAACUGAAGAGGCAGAGAGCCAGAAGCUACCCCAGAUUUCACGGAUCUGAAGCCCAGAAGGUUACAUACAGACCUUGCUUAAAGUCAUACAGCCAGUAUGGAGUUCUCACUCCAGAGAAUGGACAGCCUUGUGGAUGAUCGUGUCAACAUCCUGGGAUUUUCCAUUUUCAACCAAU
rnacentral:sRNA from 1 species